UACAGAGGUCUCGAGCGUUGUUCGGAUUCAUUGGGCGUAAAGGGCGCGUAGGCGGCGGGGUAAGUCUGGUGUGAAAUCUAGGAGCUCAACUCCUAAACUGCACUGGAUACUGCUCUGCUGGAGGACUGGAGAGGAGACUGGAAUUCACGGUGUAGCAGUGAAAUGCGUAGAUAUCGUGAGGAAGACCAGUGGCGAAGGCGGGUCUCUGGACAGUUCCUGACGCUGAGGCGCGAAGGCCAGGGGAGCAAAGCGGG
rnacentral:rRNA from 1 species